rnacentral:rRNA from 1 species
AACGAACGCUGGCGGCAUGCCUAACACAUGCAAGUCGAACGAGACCUUCGGGUCUAGUGGCGCACGGGUGCGUAACGCGUGGGAACCUGCCCUUAGGUUCGGAAUAACUCCCCGAAAGGGGUGCUAAUACCGGAUAAUGUCUUCGGACCAAAGAUUUAUCGCCUUUGGAUGGGCCCGCGUUGGAUUAGCUAGUUGGUAGGGUAAAAGCCUACCAAGGCGACGAUCCAUAGCUGGUCUGAGAGGAUGAUCAGCCACACUGGGACUGAGACACGGCCCAGAAUCCUACGGGAAGCAGCAGGUGGGAAAAAUGGAAAAUGGGCGAAAGCCUGAUCCAGCAAUGCCGCGGGAGGGAUGAAGGCCUUAGGGUUGUAAAGCUCUUUUAACCGGGAUGAUAAUGACAGUACCGGGAGAAUAAGCCCCGGCUAACUCCGUG